UGACAGUAAAAAUGAAUGUUAAACUGUCAUAACUCUAUCAUUAUAUUUUAACAUUUCUGUGGUUUCUAGUUUUAUGUCACCAAUCAAUACAACGUAUAGACUAUAUCACUUCUGCAUAAUAAAAUUAUGAAGUCAAAAAGAAUUAAUAGAGUCUAUCAUAAUAACGAAGGAAAUGGAUAUUUAGCUUAUUUCAUCAUUACCUCUGGACACCGGAGAAACUAGUAAUCUGUGAUAGACACUUGCAACUCAAGAAACGUUGUAGCCUGGAGGUGCUCCAACACUCUUUGGAAGACACCAAACAUGACUUCUAAAACCUACAAUUGAAAUGUUGGCACCAAAAAUGUGAGAUGAUGGGAGACCGAGAGGUGAGGCAUUGCCACAGUACAGCGAAUGAUAUUAUGAAUUGAAUAUGUGAAAAGAAAAUGGACUUUAAUCAUACAACUACAUGAAAUGUAAAUGAAUUAUUAUCAACUUGUAUGUGGAUAUUAGUUACAGUGCUAACUUUAUUAUCCAGCAUCGUGAUUAUCUGAACCAUAUUAAGUACCUACAAGUUAAAUUUUAUGGCACACAACAGAACAGCUCUAAAGUGGCUUGAAAAACAACCAUAGUGAAGAGAAUAAAGCCUAUAAAUUCAUUGUUAACAUUUGUUUGCAAAGUUGAAUAAAUAUGUCGAAGAGUUGCUGUUAACAUGUUCCUGACAACAAAGAGGAGACUUGAUGAUGCAGUAUGAAAUGUUAGUGUUCUAAUUUCAAUAGAGUCCCAGGAAUAUCAAUGUUCGAUCCUGGUGCGUUCCAUAGGAGAUCCCAGGAUCCCUGCUAUUGUGCUUUGAGUUUGGCCGCCGAGGAGGUUUUAGUGGGUAGUAAUCCCACAUGUUCUACUUUUCCCCCAAAGCUAGAGCACCUUUGGAAGAUUUCCUCUUCAUUAAAAAAAUUAGGAGUAUUAAUGUUUAAUCAAAAUUUCCAGCAAAAUAUUUAUAACAUAUUAAAUGGCUUAUGUCAAAUGACAACUAACAAAUAUUAUAAUACUAACUUAAAAGCAUUAUUUUAUUUUAAGAUUAAUGAUACUCUAUUUUACUUACCUUUUUUUUUAAAUAAAAUACAUAUAAUUUAAGAAUAUAUGCAUUUUAUAUGUAAAUAAGGUCAUUGGUUGCAUGUUGAAAAAUGUACUUCUUAAUUGUGUACUUUGUAAUAAUACGCAAAACACACUUUACCUGGAUUUUCUAUUAGCAGAAGGCCUAAUGACAACAAUUAGUUCAGUUAACAGAGUUUGUGUUUUAUUUAGGGAAUUUGGGAAUUUAUUUCAUUGUGAUUUUCAUAUAUUGGAUUUUUCUGUGAGUAUAGGCAUUAAAAUGGAAUAAAAUGAGCUGUAUAUGAGAUAUUAAUUUAUUUUUUGAAAGGCAUAUGUCAUACUGAAUAAUGUUUCAUUUCAUUCAUCUUCGUCCGUCAAAUCUAACCAGUAGUAAUAAAAAAAAGGUUUUUUCGUAACCAAGGUACUUCUUUGUCUUUUUUAUUGUACCACAACUUAAUAUUUCCCUGGUAAACUUGACUUGCAUGAAAUUGUUAGUUAUGGAUAAAAUAAAUUGUUGUACUCACACUGGCUUAUAUAAAAUGUAAAUUUGCUCUUGAUCUUAAAAGUCAAUAAAAUAAAUUGAGUGAA